GAAACUGUAAGCCCGCCUGAGCAGAAGAGGCAAAGGGCAGAGUAGGAGAGUUUCAGGAGGUAAAGUCAGAAGCCGACGGGACUGCGGGUUGACUUUGACUGAAGGCAGCAGGAUUGCUCAAGAGCAGAAUCCGACAAACACCAAGAGAAAAAGGAAACGUUUCAGCAGAGUCAGCCACCCCCAGCAUCUUUCUUCAAAACCCAACAAAGAAAUCCCCUCUGCUGGGUCGUGAUGAAUUGCAGACAGACAUUCCCAGCCAAUUCUAAUCCUACAAGGCCCUCUUGGCUCCCCUUAUCCUCCAGGGACCUGGAAGUAAAGGAUGAGAAGAGUUAGAAUAAUUUAAAAGGCAGAAUUAUCCACGGACUUGUGCACACAUAUCUUUGAGACUUACAGUCAUCGCUACGUUUGCACAGAUUGGCUGCAGCACUACUUCAUGGUGGACUAAUGUUUUAGGUUGAUUUAUUGGAACAGAUUGGUUCUUCAGUACCAAUUAUGGUCUAAUUCUCAAUUUGAGAAUAAUCCUGCCACCCGUAACUGGCAAUGUAGAAACUCUCAUUGGCUCCCUGGCUGCUUCCUCUUAGGAUCUGCAAGUGAAAAGAAUCAAAUUUUCUGACGGCCAGAAUUUCCACUUUAUGUUUCUUAAUAUCAUUUUUUUUCCCGUUAGACUUCUAUAAAAGAAGUCUGACACAGCCUGGGGCUUGGAGACACAAUGCGCAUACAAAUAUCACUUCUAACCAUUCCUGCCAUUUGUCCCUACAUGCACUCUGUUCAAAGAGUCGGCCUCAAGUGCAGUUCUGAGACUGGAACAACAAGCCUUUUCUCAGAAUCCGUUGGCAGAGAAGCUGAGGUAGCGCCAGGAAGAAGUGCGCCAAACCCAAUUACUCCUCCAAGAGUCGAGCAUCCUGGACAGAACGCUACAAUGUCCCAUCUCCUUCUUGGUGAGAUGGGGGCUGCUUUUAUUUUAUUUUAUUUUAUUUUAUUUUAUUUUAUUUUAUUUUAUUUUAUUUUUGUGCCUCUUGUUUCCUGCCAUUUCUAGAUGCUGUGAUUUGUCACACACUAAACAGAAGAGGAGACAGUAAGCGUUUACCACUCCCCUGGGCAAAGUUCUGUAGAUAACCAGCAGAUGCAAUUUGCUUUCAUAGCUUUCUUAAGUGUGGCCUUGAAAAGCCUCUGGCAGUAUUACAGCCAGGGACCCCCAGCACUGGGCACUCAGAAGGAUCUUAGGGAGUGCAGGACACAAUUGGUGUGUUAGGGUUACACACUCAACCCUAGUUCCAGAAAAAGCAAAGAAAAGAAUGACAACUGAUCACCAUGCUUCUGAUUCAACCCUUUCUUUUGAAAGAAUGGCAAGUAUGGGAUGGAAAGACUAAGCUUCAGAUUAUUUUCUUCUUAUCUUCUCCGUUCACCAUCCAAAUACAGAGAUGACUGUAAUGGAUGAUUAGGGUUUGUGAAAACAGUGGCUAAUGAAACCCCUUGAAAUAAAGAACAGAAAGCCACUUAGUUUUCAUCCCAAUGUUACUUUACGUAUUCAACACGCAUUUUUGUGCCAAGUAGAUGCUUGAGAUUAUUCUAGGUACGGGAAAGGUGAUCUAAGUCACCAAGUAACUGGGAGACAGCCCUAACUGGACAUCUUUUGUCACCAAAUGAAGCUUUUAGUACUGGGAAUGGAUUCCAAGCAAUUGAGUUCCUGGCAAAAGGAUCCCCAAGAUGCAAGCAUUCUAAUCAAUGCUCUAACCCCCAAACAACCCAGGCUAUUGAUAAGGCUAAUAGCUGCUCUUCACAAAUUGAUGGUAAGGCCUGAUUGCGGAAGACAACACCCACACAAGCCACUGAACACAGAGAAAUCAAGCUGAUGCCUACCUUGAGCAUUCAUCCCUACCAAAUGGUCUUCAUGGAGCUGGAAGGUACACUGCAUAUUACCAAAGGAGAACUAUAAACACCAACCUAGCUACAAACUCUUUGAUCUACAGUAGUGUCCUGUCUGCAAGAUAUGCAUAUGCAAUAGUGGCACAAAGCUUAUGGGAGUAACCAACCAAUACCUGUUUGGAAUUAAGGCCCUCUCCAUGAGAUGGAUACCAUACUUGACGGUAACACUAUUCCCUCUGUCUCUUAAACUCUUUGUCUAUAUAGGUUCCAUCUCAUGGAGUGGCCUUAAGUCAAAUGCUUGGUUAGCCAAAAACCUGAAACUAGAUAGUCUAAGGAUAUAGGAAACCAAACCAAAACAAAUACUACUGUUCUGCUAAAAAUGUAAAAUAAAUGAGUCCUAACAGUAUCCUGCUGUACUCAAAGAUCAGUGUUUUGCUCAGCCAUCAUGAGAGAAACUUCCAUUUGCAGUUGAAUGGACAAAUAAAGAGAUAGACCUACCACUAGAAAGCAUGCAAAGAGUAAGAAACCGUGGAACCCUCAGACCUAAAGGUGCUUUUUCCAUCAAAUUCCUCCCCUCAGGGCUCAGGGACACGGAAAGAGUUUACGAG
rnacentral:lncRNA from 1 species